AUUGAACGCUAGCGGGAUGCCUUACACAUGCAAGUCGAACGGCAGCACGGACUUCGGUCUGGUGGCGAGUGGCGAACGGGUGAGUAAUGUAUCGGAACGUGCCCAGUAGCGGGGGAUAACUACGCGAAAGCGUAGCUAAUACCGCAUACGCCCUUAGGGGGAAAGCAGGGGAUCGCAAGACCUUGCACUAUUGGAGCGGCCGAUAUCGGAUUAGCUAGUUGGUGAGGUAAUGGCUCACCAAGGCCGCGAUCCGUAGCUGGUUUGAGAGGACGACCAGCCACACUGGGACUGAGACACGGCCCAGACUCCUACGGGAGGCAGCAGUGGGGAAUUUUGGACAAUGGGGGAAACCCUGAUCCAGCCAUCCCGCGUGUGCGAUGAAGGCCUUCGGGUUGUAAAGCACUUUUGGCAGGAAAGAAACGGCGCGUGCUAAUACCAUGCGCAACUGACGGUACCUGCAGAAUAAGCACCGGCUAACUACGUGCCAGCCGCCGCCGUAACAC
rnacentral:rRNA from 1 species